GACAAAAGUUUUAGCACCUUCAUUCACGGGUUGUCAUUUUGAUCUGGUAACUGGUAAGAAAUCUCUUGAGAGAACAAAGGAAGCAACCUCAUCUCCCCUUCCCCAAACAAAAAAACAAAAAGAAAGAACAUAAAGAUGACUACUUUUUUUCUUUCUUUCCAGAAUUUCUAUUCUCCAUAUUCUCUCUAUUGGCUUUACGCACCCUCCAACCUCAUCUUGUGACUAGCAUACCCUUUUCUCGCUUCUUUUUAUUUAUUCCCAUUUCCAUCUUGUGACUAGCAAAAUUGGCUUUACGCACCCUCCAACCACUUCUCCUUCUCUCUUCUUCCUUCAUUUCUUUCUUUUUUUCUUCUUCCUUCAUUUAUUUCUUUGUUCUUCUUCCAUUCUACUUGCCUCUUUUUGCCACUGAGAGUACAAUCCUCCAAAUUUUUCCUACUUUCUUGUUUGUUCUCCUCCUUCACCCUCC
rnacentral:lncRNA from 1 species